GCCAGGUGCAGGGGUGCGCACCUGUGAUCCCAGCAACUGGGGAGGCUGAGGCAGGAGGAUCACAAGUCCAAGGCCAUCCUGGGCCACUUAGGGAGACCUUGUUUUGA
rnacentral:sRNA from 1 species